rnacentral:rRNA from 1 species
CCUACGGGAGGCAGCAGUGCGGAAUAUUGGUCAAUGGGCGAGAGCCUGAACCAGCCAAGUCGCGUGAAGGAUGACGGCCCUACGGGUUGUAAACUUCUUUUGUCAGGGAGCAAUUGAGUCCACGUGUGGGCUUACCGAGAGUACCGGCAGAAAAAGCAUCGGCUAACUCCGUGCCAGCAGCCGCGGUAAUACGGAGGAUGCGAGCGUUAUCCGGAUUUAUUGGGUGUAAAGGGUGCGUAGGAGGAAUAUCAAGUCAGCGGUAAAAUUUCGGGGCUCAACCCCGUCGUGCCGUUGAAACUGGUGGUCUUGAGUGGGAGAGAAGUAUGCGGAAUGCGAGGUGUAGCGGUGAAAUGCAUAGAUAUAACGCAGAACUCCGAUUGCGAAGGCAGCAUACCGGCGCCCUACUGACGCUGAAGCACGAAAGCGUGGGGAUCGAACAGGAUUAGAUACCCGGGUAGUC